UAAUAAGAAUGAAAUGAAGCCUGGGACAGCAACAUCAUCAACCAUAGAGCUCUAUGAAUGUCAGGCUACGUGGGCCACCUUCUGCCAUACAGAGCAUGCUCGAUCCUUAGAAGCCUAGACCUCCAUUUACAAGCACAGGACUCCAAGCCUUGCGGACUUAGAGAAGGGUGGAGCCUGAAGGAUGACUAAGAAAGUCAAGCCAAGAGAGAGCCUCCGAAUGCCAUGCCCAGGUCUGGACCAUAUGGCCAUCAUCACAGAAACCCAGGAAGCCAUCUCUGCAGAGUACACUUGCCCCAGCCCUCCAUCUUUUGGGACUCAGAUCCUCUGGCCCCAAGCUUGAGUGCUCAGCCCUGAAUCAGCCCAUCCAGUUAGCCCUCUACGCAGCUGCCUCAGGCCAGAGACUCUUCUGCAACCCCAGUGGCCUCCAGAGUAUUCCAGUGUUCAGUACAGACUGCUGCUGCCCUGAGUCACA
rnacentral:lncRNA from 1 species